UUCAGUUUAUUGUCACAUGUACCGAGGUACAGGGAAAAGCUUUUGUUACUUGCUAAUCAGUCAGUGAAGAAACAAUACACGAUUAUAAUCUAGCCAUUCACAGUGUACAGAUACAUGAUAAGGGAAUAAUGUUUAGUGCAAGGUAAAGCCAGUAUUGUCCAAUCAUAGAUCGUCCGAGGGUAGGAUUAGUGAUUUAAAAGG